UUGAACGCUGGCGGCAUGCUUUACACAUGCAAGUCGAACGGCAGCGGGGGCUUCGGCCUGCCGGCGAGUGGCGAACGGGUGAGUAAUGCAUCGGAACGUACCCAGUCGUGGGGGAUAACUACGCGAAAGCGUGGCUAAUACCGCAUACGCCCUGAGGGGGAAAGCGGGGGACCUUCGGGCCUCGCGCGAUUGGAGCGGCUGAUGUCGGAUUAGCUGGUUGGUGGGGUAAAGGCCUACCAAGGCGACGAUCAGUAGCUGGUCUGAGAGGAUGAUCAGCCACACUGGAACUGAGACACGGUCCAGACUCCUACGGGAGGCAGCAGUGGGGAAUUUUGGACAAUGGGGGAAACCCUGAUCCAGCCAUUCCGCGUGAGUGAAGAAGGCCUUCGGGUUGUAAAGCUCUUUCGGCAGGAACGAAACGGCGGAUACUAAUAUUAUCCGUUACUGACGGUACCUGAAGAAGAAGCACCGGCUAACUACGU
rnacentral:rRNA from 1 species